UCAGGACGAACGCUGGCGGCGUGCCUAACACAUGCAAGUCGAGCGAGGAGAUUCCUUCGGGAUGGUCCUAGCGGCGGACGGGUGAGUAACACGUGGGCAACCUGCCUCAUAGAGAGGAAUAGCCUUCCGAAAGGGAGAUUAAUACCUCAUAACAUUGCAGUUUCGCAUGAAACAGCAAUUAAAGGAGCAAUCCGCUAUGAGAUGGGCCCGCGGCGCAUUAGCUAGUUGGUGAGGUAACGGCUCACCAAGGCGACGAUGCGUAGCCGACCUGAGAGGGUGAUCGGCCACAUUGGGACUGAGACACGGCCCAGACUCCUACGGGAGGCAGCAGUGGGGAAUAUUGCACAAUGGGGGAAACCCUGAUGCAGCAACGCCGCGUGAGUGAUGACGGCCUUCGGGUUGUAAAGCUCUGUCUUCAGGGACGAUAAUGACGGUACCUGAGGAGGAAGCCACGGCUAACUACGUGCCAGCCGCCGC
rnacentral:rRNA from 1 species